rnacentral:lncRNA from 1 species
UUAUUUUUCUAUGUCACUCCUUAAUUUGAAGAGUUGAUUAGUUGUAUUCUCUUCUAUGAAAAGGAGUACCCUUCUAAUUGAAUUAAAAUACUCUCAAAUUAUAGAGUAAUUUCUAGAUGGAAUCAGUAUCUAUUGAUCAGGUCAUCCAUCAUUUAUACACACAAAUUAAUCCCAAUAUUAAGGAGCAAUGGUUUCUUCUUAUUUAUCAAUAGUAUUGCCCCUCAAAUGCAAAUUUUACUGAGAUGCUUGUUUAUUAUACGUCUUUAUUUCAACUAUGCAUGGCAUCUCCGUUUCUUCCAUUUCUUCCUCAUUUCCAUCUUCCUCAACAUCCCCUUCAACAUUCUCUCCAUUUUCCUCAUCUUUACUUGUAAGACGAUCUUUUUUGUCAAGAAUGGUAUGAGUAUUGCUUUGAACGUGCAUGCUUUAUGAUGCACAAGCUAGCUAGUUGUAAACUCAUACGUCCUAAUU